GUACUUCGUGGAAAAAAGGCAUGUACGUUUUACUGGUAUCUAUCAAGACUUCAAGUGUAGCAGCCUUUUCUACUUGGGAGUACUGCAGUUUUGCAGGAGAUUGAAAGAUGUUGCUUGGGUAUAUGAUAGUAUGUAUUGUGUGGUUAACUGAUGUCACAGGACACGUGUCCGCACGGAUGUACCCUACAAGACAUCC
rnacentral:lncRNA from 1 species